rnacentral:ncRNA from 1 species
CCUAGCCAGAAAUGGCUGGGCCACACGCCAGUUAAUAGUGUUUGUUAAUUUUAACAAACUAUGAAAUGCAAAUGUGACAUUUAGUAGUGAUGAAGGAACUGAAAGUGAGCUGAGCGAAAUAUGAAGCCUUGGUGAUUUACUUUUAAUUAAUUGGCUACAAAUU